GCACAAGCGGUGGAUGAUGUGGAUUAAUCGAUGCAACGCGAAAAACCUUACCUACCCUUGACAUGUCCGGAAUCCCGAAGAGAUUUGGGAGUGCUCGCAAGAGAGCCGGAACACAGGUGCUGCAUGGCUGUCGUCAGCUCGUGUCGUGAGAUGUUGGGUUAAGUCCCGCAACGAGCGCAACCCUUGUCAUUAGUUGCCAUCAUUUGGUUGGGCACUCUAAUGAGACUGCCGGUGACAAACCGGAGGAAGGUGGGGAUGACGUCAAGUCCUCAUGGCCCUUAUGGGUAGGGCUUCACACGUCAUACAAUGGUCGGUACAGAGGGUUGCCAACCCGCGAGGGGGAGCUAAUCCCACAAAGCCGAUCGUAGUCCGGAUCGCAGUCUGCAACUCGACUGCGUGAAGUCGGAAUCGCUAGUAAUCGUGGAUCAGCAUGUCACGGUGAAUACGUUCCCGGGUCUU
rnacentral:rRNA from 1 species